GAUGAACGCUGGCGGCGUGCCUAAUACAUGCAAGUCGAGCGAACGGACGAGAAGCUUGCUUCUCUGAUGUUAGCGGCGGACGGGUGAGUAACACGUGGAUAACCUACCUAUAGGACUGGGAUAACUUCGGGAAACCGGAGCUAAUACCGGAUAAUAUUUUGAACCGCAUGGUUCAAAAGUGAAAGACGGUCUUGCUGUCACUUAUAGAUGGAUCCGCGCUGCAUUAGCUAGUUGGUAAGGUAACGGCUUACCAAGGCAACGAUGCAUAGCCGACCUGAGAGGGUGAUCGGCCACACUGGAACUGAGACACGGUCCAGACUCCUACGGGAGGCAGCAGUAGGGAAUCUUCCGCAAUGGGCGAAAGCCUGACGGAGCAACGCCGCGUGAGUGAUGAAGGUCUUCGGAUCGUAAAACUCUGUUAUUAGGGAAGAACAUAUGUGUAAGUAACUGUGCACAUCUUGACGGUACCUAAUCAGAAAGCCACGGCUAACUACGUGCCAGCAGCCGCGGUAAUACGUAGGGGGCAAGCGUUAUCCGGAAUUAUUGGGCGUAAAGCGCGCGUAGGCGGUUUUUUAAGUCUGAUGUGAAAGCCCACGGCUCAACCGUGGAGGGUCAUUGGAAACUGGAAAACUUGAGUGCAGAAGAGGAAAGUGGAAUUCCAUGUGUAGCGGUGAAAUGCGCAGAGAUAUGGAGGAACACCAGUGGCGAAGGCGACUUUCUGGUCUGUAACUGACGCUGAUGUGCGAAAGCGUGGGGAUCAAACAGGAUUAGAUACCCUGGUAGUCCACGCCGUAAACGAUGAGUGCUAAGUGUUAGGGGGUUUCCGCCCCUUAGUGCUGCAGCUAACGCAUUAAGCACUCCGCCUGGGGAGUACGACCGCAAGGUUGAAACUCAAAGGAAUUGACGGGGACCCGCACAAGCGGUGGAGCAUGUGGUUUAAUUCGAAGCAACGCGAAGAACCUUACCAAAUCUUGACAUCCUUUGACAACUCUAGAGAUAGAGCUUUCCCCUUCGGGGGACAAAGUGACAGGUGGUGCAUGGUUGUCGUCAGCUCGUGUCGUGAGAUGUUGGGUUAAGUCCCGCAACGAGCGCAACCCUUAAGCUUAGUUGCCAUCAUUAAGUUGGGCACUCUAAGUUGACUGCCGGUGACAAACCGGAGGAAGGUGGGGAUGACGUCAAAUCAUCAUGCCCCUUAUGAUUUGGGCUACACACGUGCUACAAUGGACAAUACAAAGGGCAGCGAAACCGCGAGGUCAAGCAAAUCCCAUAAAGUUGUUCUCAGUUCGGAUCGUAGUCUGCAACUCGACUACAUGAAGCUGGAAUCGCUAGUAAUCGUAGAUCAGCAUGCUACGGUGAAUACGUUCCCGGGUCU
rnacentral:rRNA from 1 species